GCGGGUGAAGCCCCGCGGGGACCGAGGCCGCCGCCCCCGCGUACCGCGCACCUGCUGAAUUCGCUACGCCCCGCCCCUCUUGGCACACACGUUCGGAAAGCGAAGUCCUUUCGGGGGCAGAAGGACGGAGAUGUGGCCUGGUUGGCUGGCUGGAUGACCUUGGCCCUGGGGGAAGGGGAAUCUCGUCCAGGCUGGACAAGUGUCCUGUCCUCACCCUUCUUCUUGUGAUAAUGUGAGAUGAUCAAGAGCUUACACGACCAGAGGAAGCAAGACUGUGGUACCUGGGUGGCUCAGUCGAUUAAGCAUCUG